rnacentral:hammerhead_ribozyme from 1 species
AUCCAGCUAAUGAGUCCCAAAUAGGACGAAACGUAUGUCCUGGAU